AAAGACUGCAGUUUUGCACUAUUCAUAUCCAACGUUUGACCGUCCGUUUUAUUUGAAAGUUUUUUAUAAUUAGUAUUUUUAUUGAUAUUAAAUGAUAAAUUAUGAAUAAUAUUUUAUGUGUGACUAUUUUUUAAUUUUUUUAAUAAAUUUUCAAACAAGACGGACGUGGUUAGU
rnacentral:pre_miRNA from 1 species